CUCAUGUGCGGAUAACAGGUUCAAGUUCUGACAGAUGAAUCAAGAAAGUUGGGCUCUAGUAUUCGCCAGGUAUGGUCAUUGGCAAAGGAUACUGGAAAGAAGGUAGAAGCUCUAUAUGCAGAUAUUGAAAAGGUUCAAAUUGUAAGUGAUAUGUCAAGAAAGAUGGAGUCUAAUAUGCAUAAAAUGUGGUCUUAUGCAAAGAAGACAGAGAAGAUGGUUGAAGACCUAUAUUCAGAUGUCAAGCAGGGCUUCGAGAAGAAUGGGCCGAAAAUUCCUUUCUGGACGAACUGACAAUGUCAUCGCCUCAUCGACUUUAUGGACUACCAUCGGUCUGGGCAUGGAGUAAUAUAGACGAGCAAAGGGGCGUUGUUUCAGCGAAUAUGUAACGAAUCCCUUAGAUGUUGUAGGAGACAGCUUAUCUUGUUGAUUCACAUGGGGAUGCAGCGAGAUGCAGUCUCAAGUACGAAUGUAGGAUGUAUAUGUCAUGUACUACGCUUGAGGUCGUCGUUUGUUCCCGAGGUGUGAAUCAAUAUACUUAAGGUUGUCAAAUGAGUAGUGUAAAUAGCAGUUUAUAAAUGUUAUUUCCAGGUUUGUUGUGAAACAUGGUCGAUCAAGGAAGGGGAGAUCUCUAGGCUCUCUGGAAUAAUUUCAGAUUCGAAAUUGGAUGGCCACGUGACUAGGAUUAAGUGUUAGCCAUAAUUGGGAAUCAACAUGAUGAGUUUGAGGUCUGAGUUAU